rnacentral:rRNA from 1 species
AUUGAACGCUGGCGGCAGGCCUAACACAUGCAAGUCGAACGAGCGGCGGAAGGGUGAGGAAUGUCUGGGAAACUGCCUGAUGGCGGGGGAUAACUACUGGAAACGGUAGGUAAUACCGCAUAACAUCCGAUGUGCCCAGAUGGGAUUAGCUAGUAGGUGGGGUAACGGCUCACAUAGGCGUCGAUCCCUAGCUGGUCUGAGAGGAUGAACAGCCACACUGGAACUGAGACACGGUCCAGACUCCUACGGGAGGCAGCAGUGGGGAAUCUUGCACAAUGGGCGCAAGCCUGAUGCAGCCAUGCCGCGUGUGUGAAGAAGGCCUUCGGGUUGUAAAGCACUUUCAGCGGGGAGGCGUUACCCGCAGAAGAAGCACCGGCUAACUCCGUGCCAGCAGCCGCGGUAAUUC